CUGAUUUGCUUAAUUGCACCACAUGUGUUUUUCUUUGAAACAAACUUGCUUUGGCGGUGGGCCCAGCCUGCCGCCAGAGGUCUAAACUUACAACCAAUUUUUUAUCAACUUGUCACACCAGAUUAUUACUAAUAGUCAAAACUUUCAACAACGGAUCUCUUGGUUCUCGCAUCGAUGAAGAACGCAGCGAAAUGCGAUACGUAAUAUGAAUUGCAGAUAUUCGUGAAUCAUCGAAUCUUUGAACGCACAUUGCGCCCUCUGGUAUUCCGGAGGGCAUGCCUGUUUGAGCGUCGUUUCUCCCUCAAACCGCUGGGUUUGGUGUUGAGCAAUACGACUUGGGUUUGCUUGAAAGACGGUAGUGGUAAGGCGGGAUCGCUUUGACAAUGGCUUAGGUCUAACCAAAAACAUUGCUUGCGGCGGUAACGUCCACCACGUAUAUC
rnacentral:misc_RNA from 1 species